AAUCCAUGGUGAAGGCACUAUCUUAUCAAGUCCUUAUACCUUUCCCAAGCCUCGUACAGUGAUUCAAAAUCAAAUUGCAUGAAAAAAGUAAUAUCAUUCUGCAUCU
rnacentral:snoRNA from 1 species